rnacentral:lncRNA from 1 species
UUGAACUGACAUCCUAAUAUUGCUAUACAAUUCACCAGCCUGACCACAGCCGAUAUCCCUCGCCUCUUCAUCACAGGAGAUUGAGGAUUCGAGCCUCCAGGAUCAAAAGUAAGCAGAGUAAAAGGCAUAUUGGUUCAGCUCUUAGGCAAUAGAAGGUAGUAUGUGAAUAAAUAAUACUUCACAAUAUAUAUAUAUAUAUUCGGGGUAUUGUAUAAUGUAUGCUUGAUGUUUACAGUUCAAUUGUAUUGGUGGGGUUCAGAUUGUAAAAGAACCGCAAAAAAAAUUCUGGAACCCACUUUCAGCACAACACAAACCAAACCAUCAACAAGUGCUCACUCUUACAAUUUUAAAUACUAAAAUUUAAGCAAAGAUCAUUAAGAUAGAAUGCCUACAGUUUACAACAUUGCUUAAUAUGUUACACAUAUAACAUGUGACUCCCAUUAGCUUUUGCGAAAAAAUCACCGAUAAUUUAAGUAUAUAACUUUAUCCCAUUUCUAUAAUCCCAGCUAGUGCACUUUUUAACCAAGCUAAUACUUCAAUACAACAAAGACAAAGUAUCAACAAAAAAAUGCAUAAACUUCUGGAUCCAGAAAGUAACAUGUGGAAAAUAUCUCUUUACAACUCUACAAUGCAAAUACAGUAGCACCUCACAGUCUCCUUAAAUUAAUAUCCUAAGAUUAAUUAAAGUUUUUAAUUUCAUUUAUUCUCGGUGAAUUACUUCACAACCCAAGUAUAAAUCAAGAAGUGAGAGGUAGAAUAAAUGACCAAAUAUAAGCACAUUUUAUAAAGCUUAAAUUGAAAAAUACUCCCUCUGUCCCUCUCAUUUCUUUACAGUUACUAUUUUGGAAUAUCCCUCCCAUUUCUUUACGUUACUAUAAAUAGUAAAUUUUUCCCAUCAUUACACCCACUAUCUUCCUCCACUAUCUCAUAUUUAACGAUAAAAACUACUAUUACACCUACUAUUUUCCUCCACUAUCUCAAAUCUACUAUUAAAUAUUGGUAGGUCCCACCACUUUACCCACUUUUCAUCUAACUUUACUCAUUUUUCAUACAUUGUCUUGGUCUCCGUGUCCCCCACCAAUGUAAACAAUUGAGGGGGACGGAGGGAGUAAUGAAGUAAUAGCACUAACAUUGACACAUUUAAUCUGUGCUUUAGUAGGUAACAUAAUAACCAAAACACACAUAGUGAUCACCGACACUAACACACAAAAAUCCAAAGCAAGACACAACACUUCACAUAUACAGACAUAUAUACCAUAAGGUGGCCCCGACUAUAGACGGACAAAAUUUUCGAAAGCCUUUGAAGAUAAACUGAUUUUGACCAAGACCCGUCUAAAAGUUGCACUUACAGAGGAAAUCAAUAAUGAGGCGACCAUCAGAGAGUCUGCCAGUAGAUCUACGAAAGAAAGUCCUCCCAUUAGGCAAAUUAACAGUGUAGCCAAGGCCUGCAACUAAUCCUCCUGUAUCAGAAUUUGAAUCUCCGAAGUUGAAAAUGACUGGUGGGUUUUUGCACAGAGAGAGCACUGAGCUGGGUAGUACAAAGAGAGUGAAGAGUGAAAGAAGCAGAAGCUUGGAAGCCAUUGGUUGAGAGGAGUUUUUUGUUUAGUUUUUAUUGAGCAUGUGUGUGAAUAUUUAUGGGGGUUUGUGUAUGUAUUGGUGUGUGGGUACUGGGUAGAUUCAAAUUGACCGGUGUUUUUGUACAUUGUUGGAUCCUUGUCGGAGUGUGAACGCAUGUUGCCCGUCUCCAUUAUUUUUUUACACUUUUCUUUUUGAAAUAUUGCAUCCAAUUUUUUAUAUUUCAAAAUUUAUCAGAUAUUAUAUAAUUAUAAUAUAAAAAUUAAUUACUCCAAUUAUUUUUUUCACUAUAUUUAUUUUAUACAUUAAAUAUCAAUCAGUCCCAUCACAAUCCUCAUUUUUCUUACUUCUCACUCUUACUUCACUUAUUUUAAUCUUCGUUCCCGACUCAAAUGUAAAUAUUUGGUGAGACGUGGGGAAUACUAUUAUUACUUUGUUGUGUGCUCGGAUAGGUCUGUAUAUUGUACUAUGAUAGUAUACAUCGCUAGAAAAAAUAUUAUCAUAAGAGAAAAAUGGAAACGUGUAUAUUAACUUUUAUCAUUAUUUAAAUGUGUACAUGAAAUAUGUAAAAUGUAACUUGUAUAUCUCUACUGUCUAAAAAAUUGCAGCUCGUGUACUAUCGUUAAGUUUUUACUUAACACCGUAAAGAUAGGUUAGUAAAUUCAGCAGCCAAACGGGUUGAUCCAUAAAACGGUUAUAUUGUAGGAUUUUGCAUCAGUUUUUUACGGUUAAUCCUUAAAUCUGCAGUUUGAGCUUGAGAUAGUGGAGAGAAAAUGGGUUGAAAAAUGUGAUUUUGAUGAAUGGGUUGUUCAACGAGUUACUUGGACAGAACUUAAUAAGGGCGAAGAUUCAGUGGUUGCGUGAAUGGAAGGAGCGGGUAUAAGUACUUAUGUUGGUUUGAUCCUCCUGUUUGUGACACAACACGUAGAGUGAUUUCUGAUUUUUGCGUCAAAUUAAAGAGUACGGAGAUGAAAUGAAGCGUUUGAAGAUGGUGCACAUGGAUGAACUACAAGAAGUGAAGAGAGGAAGCAAGUAGCUAAAAUAUGUUAUGUUUGUUGUUUUUAUUGGUCUUAGUAUAUGUAACAUUUUGGAUGUUGUAAUGUUAGUUUAUAGUUUGGAC